rnacentral:rRNA from 1 species
AGAAUCAACGCUGGCGGCGUGCCUAACACAUGCAAGUCGAACGAGAAAGUGGAGCAAUCCAUGAGUAAAGUGGCGCACGGGUGAGUAACACGUGACUAACCUACCCUUGAGUGGGGGAUAACCUCGGGAAACCGGGCUAAUACCGCAUAAUAUCGAGAGAUCAAAGGAGCAAUUCGCUUAAGGAGGGGGUCGCGGCUGAUUAGCUAGUUGGUGAGGUAAUGGCUCACCAAGGCUAUGAUCAGUA